rnacentral:misc_RNA from 1 species
ACGAAUGCGGCUGAAGUGGCUCCCCGUCAGGCUCAGGGGACGUCGUCGGGUCUCGCGGGUGGCGGNNGCUUCCGCGCCGGUGAGACGCCCGUCGACCGCCCUGCACUUYUGCGGGGAGCCGGCCAACGUCAGUUGCGCCCGGCCCAGAAGGGCGGCGGGGCAGGUGGCUCCGUGCUCUCGCGCGGAGAACUUAUAGCCCGUCGUCUGUUUGGCGCUCCGGGGAGCGACUGAGGAGAGUUGCGAGUUCGCACGUGGCGGCGCAGGCCUCUCGAGGCUGGGCCCCUUCUCGUCGGGGUGGCGUCCGAGGCGUUCCACUGCGUGCAGUGGGGGUCUACGGUGCGCUCUCCGGCGGGGAGGACGGUCGCACCUU